rnacentral:rRNA from 1 species
CCUACGGGUGGCAGCAGUGAGGAAUAUUGGUCAAUGGACGCGAGCCUGAACCAGCCAUGCAGCGUGCAGGAUGACUGCUCUAUGAGUUGUAAACUUCUUUUAUACGGGAAUAAAGUCAGGUACGUGUGCCUUUCUGUAAGUACUUUACGAAUAAGGAUCGGCUAACUCCGUGCCAGCAGCCGCGGUAAUACGGAGGAUCCGAGCGUUAUCCGGAUUUAUUGGGUUUAAAGGGUGCGUAGGUGGGUUGUUAAGUUAGAGGUGAAAGUUUGCGGCUCAACCGUGAAAUUGCAAUUGAUACUGUCAGUCUUGAGUAUAGUUGAGGUAGGCGGAAUUCGUGGUGUAGCGGUGAAAUGCUUAGAGAUCACGAAGAACUCCGAUUGCGAAGGCAGCUUACUAAACUGCCACUGACAUUGAUGCUCGAAAGUGUGGGGAGCAAACAGGAUUAGAUACCCCUGUAGUC